AGAGAGUGAUCCUGCUGUGAGAACAGAAGACGUCUGUUACGGACAAAUAGUGAUCAAAGACAAGAAGAAAAACAGGAAGAGAGAGGGUGAUCCUGCUGCAAUCUACUCCGGAGUGAGAACAGAAGUCAAGAAAAAAAACAGGAAGAAAGAGCCUCCAGCAGAGCCAGA